GGGUCAGUAGGUUGGUCGUGCCACCGGUACGUACUGGUCUCACUGAUUCCUCCUUCCUGAAGAACCGUAAUGCCAUUAAUUUGGUGUUGCGGGGAAACAGGACUGUUACUUUGAAAAAAUUAGAGUGUUUAAAGCAAGCUAACGCUUGAAUACAUUAGCAUGGAAUGAUGAAAUAGGACGACCGAUCCUAUUUUGUUGGUUUCUAGGAUUGACGUA
rnacentral:rRNA from 1 species